GAUGAACGCUGGCGGCGUGCCUAAUACAUGCAAGUCGAGCGAACAGACGAGGAGCUUGCUCCUCUGACGUUAUCGGCGGACGGGUGCGUAACAUGUGGAUAACCUACCUAUAAGACUGGGAUAACUUCGGGAAAUCGGAGCUAAUACCGGAUAAUUUAUCGAAUUUCAUGGUUCAAUCGUUAAAUACGGUUUUUCUGUCACUUAUAGAUGGAUCCGCCCCGCAUUAGUUAGUUGUUAAGGUAACGGCUUACCAACGCAACGAUGCGUAGCCGACCUGAGAGGGAGAACGGACAGCUUGGAACUGAGGAACGGCACAGACACCUGAGGGAGGCAGCAGUAGGGAAUCUUACGCGAUGGGCGAAAGCGUAACGGAGCAACGCCGCGGGAGGGAUGAAGGUCUUAGGAUCGUAAAACUCUGUAAUUAGGAAAGAACAAAUGUGUAAGUAACUAUGCACAUAAUGACGGUACCUAAACAGAAAGCCACGGCUAACUACGUG
rnacentral:rRNA from 1 species